rnacentral:rRNA from 1 species
GAUGAAUGCUGGCGGCGUGUCUAACACAUGCAAGUCGAGCGGCAGCGAGGGGUGCUUGCACCCUGUCGGCGAGCGGCGAACGGCUGAGUAACGCGUAGGAAUUUGCCCCAAAGUGAGGAAUAACUGCCCGAAAGGGUAGCUAAUGCCGCAUAUGGUCUUCGGAUUAAAGGAUUUAUCCGCUUUGGGAGAAGCCUGCGUUGGAUUAGGUUGUUGGUAGGGUAAUGGCCUACCAAGCCGACGAUCCAUAGCUGGUCUGAGAGGAUGAUCAGCCAGACUGGAACUGAGACACGGUCCAGACUCCUACGGGAGGCAGCAGUGAGGAAUCUUCCACAAUGGGCGAAAGCCUGAUGGAGCAACGCCGCGUGAAGGAUGAAGGCCUUCGGGUUGUAAACUUCUUUUAUGAGUGAAGAAUAUGACGGUAACUCAUGAAUAAGCACCGGCUAACUACGUG